UGGGCGUUAAGUUGCAGGGUAUAGACCCGAAACCCGGUGAUCUAGCCAUGGGCAGGUUGAAGGUUGGGUAACACUAACUGGAGGACCGAACCGACUAAUGUUGAAAAAUUAGCGGAUGACCUGUGGCUGGGGGUGAAAGGCCAAUCAAACCGGGAGAUAGCUGGUUCUCCCCGAAAGCUAUUUAGGUAGCGCCUCGUGAAUUCAUCUCCGGGGGUAGAGCACUGUUUCGGCUAGGGGGCCAUCCCGGCUUACCAACCCGAUGCAAACUGCGAAUACCGGAGAAUGUUAUCACGGGAGACACACGGCGGGUGCUAACGUCCGUCGUGAAGAGGGAAACAACCCAGACCGCCAGCUAAGGUCCCAAAGUCAUGGUUAAGUGGGAAACGAUGUGGGAAGGCCCAGACAGCCAGGAUGUUGGCUUAGAAGCAGCCAUCAUUUAAAGAAAGCGUAAUAGCUCACUGGUCGAGUCGGCCUGCGCGGAAGAUGUAACGGGGCUAAACCAUGCACCGAAGCUGCGGCAGCGAACGUAUCACCCAAGACAACUUUACGGAGUUGACGAUUGACGGAGCGAAGCGACGUCAAAGCGUUCAUUAAAGUCGAGUUGGCUUAGGGAUACGUUCGUUGGGUAGGGGAGCGUUCUGUAAGCCUGUGAAGGUGUGUCGUGAGGCAUGCUGGAGGUAUCAGAAGUGCGAAUGCUGACAUAAGUAACGAUAAAGCGGGUGAAAAGCCCGCUCGCCGGAAGACCAAGGGUUCCUGUCCAACGUUAAUCGGGGCAGGGUGAGUCGACCCCUAAGGCGAGGCCGAAAGGCGUAGUCGAUGGGAAACGGGUUAAUAUUCCCGUACUUGGUGUUACUGCGAAGGGGGGACGGAGAAGGCUAUGUUGGCCGGGCGACGGUUGUCCCGGUUUAAGCGUGUAGGUGUGUGUUCCAGGUAAAUCCGGUUCACUUUAACACUGAGGCGUGACGACGAGGCACUACGGUGCUGAAGCAACAAAUGCCCUGCUUCCAGGAAAAGCCUCUAAGCAUCAGGUAACAUCAAAUCGUACCCCAAACCGACACAGGUGGUCAGGUAGAGAAUACCAAGGCGCUUGAGAGAACUCGGGUGAAGGAACUAGGCAAAAUGGUGCCGUAACUUCGGGAGAAGGCACGCUGACACGUAGGUGAAGUGAUUUACUCAUGGAGCUGAAGUCAGUCGAAGAUACCAGCUGGCUGCAACUGUUUAUUAAAAACACAGCACUGUGCAAACACGAAAGUGGACGUAUACGGUGUGACGCCUGCCCGGUGCCGGAAGGUUAAUUGAUGGGGUCAGCGCAAGCGAAGCUCCUGAUCGAAGCCCCGGUAAACGGCGGCCGUAACUAUAACGGUCCUAAGGUAGCGAAAUUCCUUGUCGGGUAAGUUCCGACCUGCACGAAUGGCGUAAUGAUGGCCAGGCUGUCUCCACCCGAGACUCAGUGAAAUUGAACUCGCUGUGAAGAUGCAGUGUACCCGCGGCAAGACGGAAAGACCCCGUGAACCUUUACUAUAGCUUGACACUGAACAUUGAGCCUUGAUGUGUAGGAUAGGUGGGAGGCUUUGAAGUGUGGACGCCAGUCUGCAUGGAGCCGACCUUGAAAUACCACCCUUUAAUGUUUGAUGUUCUAACGUGGACCCGUAAUCCGGGUUGCGGACAGUGUCUGGUGGGUAGUUUGACUGGGGCGGUCUCCUCCUAAAGAGUAACGGAGGAGCACGAAGGUUGGCUAAUCCUGGUCGGACAUCAGGAGGUUAGUGCAAUGGCAUAAGCCAGCUUGACUGCGAGCGUGACGGCGCGAGCAGGUGCGAAAG
rnacentral:rRNA from 1 species